ensembl:lncRNA
AAAGAAAAAAAAAAAAAAAGACAAUUUAUCUAUGGAGAGGAAAAAGCAUUUGAAAUAAUGUUGGGUAUUUUGCCAAGACUGUCAGAAGAGUAACACUUCCACUUUCUCAGCUCUGUCUCAUUAAAAUUGUAUUCUAAUUCUGCCUCAGCUUGGUCUCUUUGCUCCAUAAGUCAUUGCCUGCUCAUUACUUGUAGUGUGAGAGAUGAAAUUUAUUCAAACCUGAUAGCAGGGAUGAAGAAUUGAAAGGCAGGCAGCUGCGAGAAAUGAAAUUAGCUUAUUCUAAUGCUUUUUUGACAGGAUUUUUUUCAUUGCCAUGGGUUACUGUACAUUUGCCUGAAAUGCUCCCCUGCCACAUCCUUAUCUCUAAUUUGGAGAGAUAUGUAUUUGAAGGGUGGACUGUUUGGUGGAUAAGAAAUUGGUUGGAAGGUUGCAGCCAGAAGAAUGUGGUCGCUGAAUCUAUGUCCAGGUGGAGGCUGAAAUACUUAAGAAGUGUGAGCUCAUCAAACGGCUAUACAGAGUCAACAGAAAGCAUAAAAGAAUUUUGAGGAAGAAGGGCAUCAAAGCUCGUUCAGAACUGAAAACUAAGGUCCCACAGAGAAGGGUGCCAUGGUGCAGCUAUGCAAUAGCCAUCAGAAUGGGAAAUUACUGAGGGAGAUUGAAGUGCUCAGAACUGCUGGCUUAUGAUCACUCAAAAUUCAGAAUUGGUAUUGUAUUGCAAUUCCUCAUCAAAAACAUGCAGAAUCAUCUUUCUCGUCAAAAACAUUUCAUUGAGAUAGCAGUCUACUGUGCCUCCCAAAAGGAAAGUGCUGAAGAUGUCACUGAAAAUUAUCACCACUUUCUUCUGCAUCAAGAAAAUAUAACUCACAUACAUCUCCUGGGAAUAUGGAAAUUAUGAAUAUUUGAGUCUAUCAUUUUUCCUUGAGGCCUGCCAAUGAGGCACAGGAGGUUGUUGAACUUGGAGUGAUAAUGUUCUUUCAAAGGCAGCAGCAAGUGGAUGUCAGGUCUCAGUCUUUGGAUACUCCAACUAACAAAAGUUUCUGGUUUAUCUUUCCUGGAUUCCCUUUACAGAAAGGGAGCUAGCUAAGGCUACUCAUGCUUCCUCUCCCCCUAACAACCCAAAGAGCUCCCCAUAAAGUUCAAAGUCAACUGUGGUAUCUUUAAAAUUUAAACAUUAUCAGAACACAAAUCAAUAAAGUGUUAACUCUCUUAUCAGUCAUCUGCCAUGAACAACAAACAUUUUAAGUCAGCAGUUUGCAAACAAGCCAUGGACUAAUAUUUGUUUGCAUAAACUAUUCAGUACAGAUGCAUAAAAGAAAUUUAGUGGGAAUCAGGAUUAGCUUACAAAUGAUCUGCAAAAAAAGAGAAGAAGAGAAGAGAAGAGAAGAGAAGAGAAGAGAAGAGAAGAGAAGAGAAGAGAAGAGAAGAGAAGAGAAGAGAAGAGAAGAGAAGAGAAGAGAAGAGAAGAGAAGAGAAGAGAAGAGAAGAGAAGAGAAGAGAAGAGAAACACAUAAGCACAACAAAAAACUCCUAGAGUUAUUGGAUAUUUUAUUUAUAAUUAGUAAUUAAAUCAGCUCUAGUAUGGAUGCUGACAAUAUCAACAUAGCAUGUUUUCUGCUAGAUUUAUCACAUAUUUAUUUAAAAAAAAAAAAGCAGCACAGCAACCUAUUUACUUUCGACAUGAGUCAAUAGUGGUGUGGAUAAUGAGCACAACAGUAAAGAAAUUUGACUUAAACUUCAGUUUCAGAGCUGGCAAGGGUGAAACAAAAAUGAGUAGUCAGAAAGACUGAGAUUACAGUAAUGAGAUGCCUGCCUACAACUCCUCCUGCCUCCAUAGUCCAUGGCAAUACUCAAUAUCCUUUGGAGACAGUUUAGAGACAGGAGCACCCUUUCUCAUUCUCUUAAUGAACUUCAAUAGUGCCUCUAUUUGAACUUCAGUAAAGUUUGCAAAACGAGCAAUUUUUGAGAUUUUCUAUAUGUUUGUAUUUUAGCUUCCACAUGAAUAAAAGAAGCAGGGCAAUCUUUGGCAGCAAGCUGACAAACUCAGUGAGGUGAUCUCUAAACUAGAGAACCUGGGGGCUAGGGUCCACAAUGGCAGUGCUUACAUCAUUGUAAAUAACUGGGGAAUGAGACAAGCCAACCAGAACAGCGAUGGAUGUUAUUUAGCUGACUUCCAUGACACAGAAUCACAGAAUCAGUCGAUUUGAAACGUACCCUUAAAGGUCAUCUAGUCCAACCCCUCUGCAAUGAGCAGGAACAUAUACAGCUCAAUCAGGUGCUCAGUUCCCCAUCCAUCUUGACCUUAAAUGUCUCCAAGAAUGUGGCAUCCACCAUCUCUGUGGGCAGCUUAUUUCUGUGUCUCACCACAUUUAUCAUAUUGUCUUUUUUCUUCACACCCAGUCCAAACCUCUGCUUUAUUUUGAAACCAUUUCCCCUUGUCCUGUCACAACAGACUCUGGUAAAGAGUCUGUCCCCUUUUUUCUUGUCGCCCCAUUUAGACCUCCUAAAGCUGAUAUCUGUUCUCCCCAGAGCUUUCUCUUUUCCAGACUGAAAAGCCCCAGCUCUCUCAGCUUGUCCCCAUAGGAGAGAUGUUCCAUCCCUUGCAUCAUUUUUGUGGCCUUCCUCUAGAUGCACUCCAACAGGUCCAUGUCUCUUCUGUACUGAGGACUCCACAUCUGGAGACAGUACUCCAGGUGAAGCCUCACCAGCACAGAGUAGAGGGCCAUGAUCAUCUUCCUCAAGCUGCAGACCACACUUCUUAUGAUGAAGCCCAUGAGUCAAAAGGUCAGCCACUUCAAAGCUCCCUAAUAUUGCCUCUCUGCUGAAUGUUGCACUGUUCUGAGAAAAGCUGCCCAUUGUAUUGUUUUGAAAUGACAGUUCUCUUGGGACCACGACCCUGCAAAUAAUUGCUGCCAAUUUUAGUGCUAGACUGAAUGAAGUGUCUCUUCAUGGAAAACCCAUUUCAUUCAAAUUAUUAUGGUCUGACUCUUAAUUUUUCUUUGCAUUACAUCAGGAAUGCUGCACCU